CCUACGGGUGGCAGCAGUGGGGAAUAUUGCACAAUGGGGGAAACCCUGAUGCAGCGACGCCGCGUGAGUGAAGAAGUAUCUCGGUACGUAAAGCUCUAUCAGCAGGGAAGAAAAUGACGGUACCUGACUAAGAAGCCCCGGCUAACUACGUGCCAGAAGCCGCGGUAAUACGUAGGGGGCAAGCGUUAUCCGGAUUUACUGGGUGUAAAGGGAGCGUAGACGGCAGCAGAAGUCUGGAGUGAAAUCCCGGGGCUUAACCCCGGGACUGCUUUGGAAACUGUGCGGCUGGAGUGCAGGAGGGGUAAGCGGAAUGCGUAGUGUAGCGGUGAAAUGCGUAGAUAUUAGGAAGAACACCGGUAGCGAAGGCGGCUUGCUGGACUGUAACUGACGCUGAGGCUCGAAAGCGUGGGGAGCAAACAGGAUUAGAUACCCGAGUAGUC
rnacentral:rRNA from 1 species